AGCUUUGUUAUAAUUGUCUCUUAAAUACUCCAAUUUAGAUUUAAUGUGACUAUGGCUUUUCCAAAUAAAGUAGAGCAAACAGAGCAGUACAAGUUGCUGGGGGUUUUUUAUUUGUUUGUUUGUUGUUUUGUUGGGCGUGGGUUUGUUGCCUUGUUUGUUUGUUUGCUUGUUUGUUUGUUUUUGGGUUAUUUUUUUGUAUUGCCAGAACAAUCACAUACCCUUUAUAUUAUAAAAUGCCAUCUUCAUAUUUUAGGGCCAUACUGUGACAGCAAUGAUUAGUCACUACUAAAAACUGUACGAGUUCAGUCUCUGAACUAGUGUGGGGAAUAUCCAGUUAGCUACUGACAUAGUCCAGUACAGAUUCAUCUGCCAGAAUUCAAUAAAGCCACGUUGUUUGAGAAUAAACAUGGUGUAUCUGUAAUAUUUCCACAUAUCUCUGUCAAUAUAUAUAUCUGUUUUAUAUUACAAGCAUGAUGAUUAAGAUAUGUAAGAGCACUUAAUGCACAAAAAUAUACCAAAACUUGCACUUGAAGCUUAUUGUUUCAGCCUUCCAGAACCAUGAACUGCAGAUGUGGUCCUGCCUGUAGGAUUUAAGGUCAUGAAGUGUUUUCAGAGAGACAUUGACUUUGAAAAACUAGGAAAGAUGGAUUCAUCUCACAGGUAGUGAAAAUGCUGUGGGAAUAGUGAUGUGAGUCAUGAUCCUGCCUUAAAACUAUAAGUUCUUCAGGCUUGCAAAUGAGGUUGGAUCUUCACUGACAUUUUCUUCAGAUCCUUCUCCCCUCUGGAUUAUUAUGGGAGUGUGAAGACCCUUGGUACUAGAGGACAGAGGUUUUCCAUGUAAAGGCAUGUAAAACCAGAUGACAAAUGUAACCAAGUCCAUGUUCCCAAAAAAAAAAAAAAAAAAAAAAAAAAAAAAAAAGUGGAUAUUAUUUAAUAUUACUAGCUGUUUUCACAUGAAAUGCAGCUUUGCUGUCCAGCAAACAGGCUCAUUGGAAAACCAGCAAAUUUACUGUGUCACAUGCUGUUUCUUGCUAGGUUACCAGCACUGAUGAGGGGAGCAUUGGAGGGUUAUUUUAGCUUUACACAUGUAGAAAAAGAGAACACAGUUAACACUGCUACAGUAUAUACUUUGGAGCCAGGAUGUUUCCCUUCAACUGUUAUUCAAUGAAUGGCAUUAUUCAAUAUCUGUAAUCCUUCAGAGAUUAAGAAUAAUUAUCUAAUAAGAUAUGCUUUAGUGCAUCUGUAACAUCUGCAGUCUCCUGGUCACAGAAAUGCAUUUGUCACAGCGAGCACAGGGAGGAAACAGGCAGCCCUUCCCCAGCUGAAAACCUUAUGAAAACAGGGACCUCUCAGAGGAGACUGGGCAGGGGGGGAACAGCUCUGCACGCUGCUUGCCCCCUUGCACAGAAAAAGCAGAGCUUAAUUAAAAAAAAAAAAAAUCAUAAACCUGGGACUUUAAAAGAAAAAAAACCAGAAAAGCCCAAAUCCAACAAACCCACAUAUUUGUGGUUCUUCAAAGGGGCAGGCUCAAAAGAAACCGCCUCGAAAGCAGAGGAGUCUCCUAGGCUCUUUGCUGCUCUCAGCAUCCGUUUCCCCAUUUCUAGAAUGUGACGGUUCUAAGAGAGCAGGCAAGAAAUAAGUGUGGAAAGAGAAGAAAGAAAGUAAAUGGGACUACAACACAGAUGUUUACCUCCACACCUUGGCUUUGUGUGUGAAGACUUCAGUUCUGCUGGAAUCAUGCAAAAAAAGAGAAGAUUCCACUACAUUGUUUUCAGUGCUUCUCAAAUGGCUAAUUGUCUUAAUGGACAGAAAUCUGCAUUUUAUUCCUGUAUAUCCAGCUUUAUCCGACCUCUACUCAACCUGAUUAAGAUUGCUUCUGCCAGCAGAUGUUACUUGUAUUUAGACACUUAAAGAAGGUCGGGUUACCACAUGGCCUGCUGAUCAAUAAGCUGAAUAAAACUUGUGCAACU